UGCCAGCAGCCGCGGUAAUACGAAGGGCCCGAGCGUUAAUCGGAAUCACUGGGCUUAAAGGGUGCGCAGGCGGACCCGCAAGCAUGUCGUGAAAGCCCCCGGCUCAACCGGGGAACUGCGAUGUGAACUGCGGGUCUUGAGGCAGGUAGGGGUCGAUGGAACCAUGGGUGGAACGGUGAAACGUGUAGAUAUCCAUGGGAACGCCAAUGGCGAAGGCAAUCGACUGGGCCUGUCCUGACGCUCAUGCACGAAAGCGUGGGGAGCGAACGGGAUUAGAUA
rnacentral:rRNA from 1 species